rnacentral:rRNA from 1 species
AAUCCAUAGGUUAAUGAGGCGAACCGGGGGAACUGAAACAUCUAAGUACCCCGAGGAAAAGAAAUCAACCGAGAUUCCCCCAGUAGCGGCGAGCGAACGGGGAGGAGCCCAGAGCCUGAAUCAGCAUGUGUGUUAGUGGAAGCGUCUGGAAAGGCGCGCGAUACAGGGUGACAGCCCCGUACACAAAAGCGCAUGUGCUGUGAGCUCGAUGAGUAGGGCGGGACACGUGGUAUCCUGUCUGAAUAUGGGGGGACCAUCCUCCAAGGCUAAAUACUCCUGACUGACCGAUAGUGAACCAGUACCGUGAGGGAAAGGCGAAAAGAACCCCGGCGAGGGGAGUGAAAAAGAACCUGAAACCGUGUACGUACAAGCAGUGGGAGCACCUUCGGGUGUGACUGCGUACCUUUUGUAUAAUGGGUCAGCGACUUAUAUUCUGUAGCAAGGUUAACCGUAUAGGGGAGCCGGAGGGAAACCGAGUCUUAAUUGGGCGUUAAGUUGCAGGGUAUAGACCCGAAACCCGGUGAUCUAGCCAUGGGCAGGUUGAAGGUUGGGUAACACUAACUGGAGGACCGAACCGACUAAUGUUGAAAAAUUAGCGGAUGACCUGUGGCUGGGGGUGAAAGGCCAAUCAAACCGGGAGAUAGCUGGUUCUCCCCGAAAGCUAUUUAGGUAGCGCCUCGUGAAUUCAUCUCCGGGGGUAGAGCACUGUUUCGGCUAGGGGGCCAUCCCGGCUUACCAACCCGAUGCAAACUGCGAAUACCGGAGAAUGUUAUCACGGGAGACACACGGCGGGUGCUAACGUCCGUCGUGAAGAGGGAAACAACCCAGACCGCCAGCUAAGGUCCCAAAGUCAUGGUUAAGUGGGAAACGAUGUGGGAAGGCCCAGACAGCCAGGAUGUUGGCUUAGAAGCAGCCAUCAUUUAAAGAAAGCGUAAUAGCUCACUGGUCGAGUCGGCCUGCGCGGAAGAUGUAACGGGGCUAAACCAUGCACCGAAGCUGCGGCAGCGACGCUUAUGCGUUGUUGGGUAGGGGAGCGUUCUGUAAGCCUGUGAAGGUGGCCUGUGAGGGUUGCUGGAGGUAUCAGAAGUGCGAAUGCUGACAUAAGUAACGAUAAAGCGGGUGAAAAGCCCGCUCGCCGGAAGACCAAGGGUUCCUGUCCAACGUUAAUCGGGGCAGGGUGAGUCGACCCCUAAGGCGAGGCCGA